rnacentral:rRNA from 1 species
GAUGAACGCUGGCGGCGUGCCUAAUACAUGCAAGUCGAGCGAAUGGAUUAAGAGCUUGCUCUUAUGAAGUUAGCGGCGGACGGGUGAGUAACACGUGGGUAACCUGCCCAUAAGACUGGGAUAACUCCGGGAAACCGGGGCUAAUACCGGAUAACAUUUUGAACCGCAUGGUUCGAAAUUGAAAGGCGGCUUCGGCUGUCACUUAUGGAUGGACCCGCGUCGCAUUAGCUAGUUGGUGAGGUAACGGCUCACCAAGGCAACGAUGCGUAGCCGCCCUGAGGGGGUGAUCGGCCAAACUGGGACUGAGACACGGCCCAGACUCCUACGGGAGGCAGCAGUAGGGAAUCUUCCGCAAUGGCCGAAAGUCUGACGGAGCAACGCCGCGUGAGUGAUGAAGGCUUUCGGGCCGUAAAACUCUGUUGUUAGGGAAGAACAAGUGCUAGUUGAAUAAGCUGGCACCUUGACGGUACCUAACCAGAAAGCCACGGCUAACUACGUGCCAGCCGCCGCAGUAA